AGUGAACGCUGGCGGUAGGCCUAACACAUGCAAGUCGAACGGCAGCACAGUAAGAGCUUGCUCUUACGGGUGGCGAGUGGCGGACGGGUGAGGAAUACAUCGGAAUCUACUUUUUCGUGGGGGAUAACGUAGGGAAACUUACGCUAAUACCGCAUACGACCUACGGGUGAAAGCAGGGGAUCUUCGGACCUUGCGCGAUUGAAUGAGCCGAUGUCGGAGUAGCUAGUUGGGGGGGUAAAGGCCCACCAAGGCGGGGAUCCGUAGCUGGUCUGAGAGGAUGAUCGGCCACACUGGAACGGAGACACGGUCCAGACUCCUACGGGAGGCAGCAGUGGGGAAUAUUGGACAAUGGGCGCAAGCCUGAUACAGCCAUCCCGAGUGGGUGAAGAAGGCCUUCGGGUUGUAAAGACCUUUUGUUGGGAAAGAAAAGCAGCAGGUUAAGACCCCGCUGUUCUGACGGUACCCAAAGAAUAAGCACCGGCUAACUUCGUG
rnacentral:rRNA from 1 species